rnacentral:rRNA from 1 species
AUGAAAUACAUAUGGCGUCUCGCCUAUGACCCAGAGAUCCGCGAGGCAGGUGACAAUUUGUUUGUAAUCCAAUUGUUCUGCGUGGGAGACUGGAAUAGGGUGAUGCAUCAAGGGCUAUGGAUCUUCAGGGGACUCAUGGUGAUCAUAGAAGAGUACGAUGGUAAGGGGAAGCCUGAGGCGGUCGUUCUUGAUCGCGUGUAUGUCUGGGCGCAGAUUCAUGACACACCAGAACUGUAUCGCAAAGAACCGAUCAUGGAUCAAUUAGCACGGAGAAUCGGUCAAGUAAAGAGUGUGGAGAUGAACCCUACCAGAGUUUUUGAGGGGAACUAUGUCAGGGUACGAGCAAAGAUCAAUGUAGCACAGCCAUUGGUUAGGUUUACACCACUGAAUAUCAAGGGUGAAGAGAGGCUAUUGUUACCAGUGAAAUAUGAAAAGAUUGCUUUCUUUUGUGAAGUCUGCGGUGUUAUGGGCCACAUCCUUGAAGAGUGUGGUAAUGGUAUCCACAAUCCUGAUGAGAUUGAAUAUGGUGAAUGGAUGUUAGCCAAGAGAAGGAGUCUCCCCUCGACCCAGUUUAAUCAGACUGGCCGAGGCAACUUCAGCUAUACUAGUGACAACAGGGGUGCACCUGGACGCCGAGGCAGAGGCCGCGGUGGACGCGGCAACGCUGAUGGAGGCCGGGGUAACGGCGAUGGAGCCAAGAAGCGAUCAUCACAGGAAGCGGGCUUGCAAGAGGACGUGGACCUGAAUGACACAGCGGAAAGCCCACUCAAGACAGACGUCGUGGAGAAGGAUGCCGAUCAGACCGAACCUACUGCUAAGAAGAAGCUUGACCUUUCUGAUGAUGCUCUUGGGGUUUCAGUCGAGAAUACUGCAGAACGUCACGCCCAGAAUCCUGCUGUACAUGUUCAGCCGAAGGAGAUAAUACUGGUUCCACCCCCUCCCCCAGGAUACCAAAACCCACGUGAUAGGAAGAAGCCAAAGAAGGGGUCGUCACCCAACAAAUCGACGAACAAAAUGAGCGAACAGGUGGGCUCCUUGGAGGAGCGCCGCCGCGCUCAAUGA